rnacentral:rRNA from 1 species
AGUGAACGCUGGCGGUAGGCCUAACACAUGCAAGUCGAACGGCAGCACAGUAAGAGCUUGCUCUUACGGGUGGCGAGUGGCGGACGGGUGAGGAAUACAUCGGAAUCUACUUUUUCGUGGGGGAUAACGUAGGGAAACUUACGCUAAUACCGCAUACGACCUACGGGUGAAAGCAGGGGAUCUUCGGACCUUGCGCGAUUGAAUGAGCCGAUGUCGGAUUAGCUAGUUGGCGGGGUAAAGGCCCACCAAGGCGACGAUACGUAGCUGGUCUGAGAGGAUGAUCAGCCACACUGGAACUGAGACACGGUCCAGACUCCUACGGGAGGCAGCAGUGGGGAAUAUUGGACAAUGGGCGCAAGCCUGAUCCAGCCAUACCGCGUGGGUGAAGAAGGCCUUCGGGUUGUAAAGCUCUUUUGUUGGGAAAGAAAAGCAGCAGGUUAAUACCCCGCUGUCCUGACGGUACCCAAAGAAUAAGCACCGGCUAACUUCGUG